CCUACGGGAGGCAGCAGUGGGGGAUAUUGCACAAUGGGGGGAACCCUGAUGCAGCGACGCCGCGUGGGUGAAGGAGCGUUUCGGCGCGUAAAGCCCUAUCGGCAGGGAAGAAGGAGGACGGUACCUGACUAAGAAGCCCCGGCUAACUACGUGCCAGCAGCCGCGGUAAUACGUAGGGGGCAAGCGUUAUCCGGAUUUACUGGGUGUAAAGGGGGCGCAGACGGCAGCGCAAGCCAGGAGUGAAAGCCCGGGGCCCAACCCCGGGACUGCUCUUGGAACUGCGCGGCUGGAGUGCAGGAGAGGGCGGUGGAACUCCAUGUGGAGCGGUAAAAUGCGGAGAUAUAUGGAAGAACACCAGUGGCGAAGGCGGCCGCCUGGCCUGUUACUGACGCUGAGGCACGAAAGCGUGGGGAGCAAAUAGGAUGAGAUACCCCUGUAGUC
rnacentral:rRNA from 1 species